rnacentral:rRNA from 1 species
UACAGAGGGUGCGAGCGUUAAUCGGAAUUACUGGGCGUAAAGCGCGCGUAGGCGGCUUUGACAAGUCGGGUGUGAAAUCCCCAAGGCCUUAACCUGGGAACUGGCAUUCGAGACUGCAUUGCUGAGAGGUAUGGGAGAGGGAAGUGGAAUUUCCGGUGUAGCGGUGAAAUGCGUAGAUAUCGGAAGGAACAUCAGUGGCGAAAGCGCACUUCCUGGACCAAUACUGACGCUCAUGUGCGAAAGCGUGGGGGAGCAAACAGG